rnacentral:rRNA from 1 species
AUUGAACGCUGGCGGAAUGCUUUACACAUGCAAGUCGAACGGCAGCACGGACUACGGUCUGGUGGCGAGUGGCGAACGGGAGAGUAAUGUAUCGGAACGUGCCCAGUCGUGGGGGAUAACGUAGUGAAAAUUACGCUAAUACCGCAUACGAUCUAUGAAUGAAAGCGGGGGAUCGCAAGACCUCGCGCGAUUGGAGCGGCCGAUAUCAGAUUAGGUAGUUGGUGGGGUAAAGGCCCACCAAGCCAACGAUCUGUAGCUGGUCUGAGAGGACGACCAGCCACACUGGAACUGAGACACGGUCCAGACUCCUACGGGAGGCAGCAGUGGGGAAUUUUGGACAAUGGGCGAAAGCCUGAUCCAGCCAUUCCGCGUGCAGGAUGAAGGCCCUCGGGUUGUAAACUGCUUUUGUACAGAACGAAAAGGUUUCUACUAAUACUAGGAGCUCAUGACGGUACUGUAAGAGUAAGCACCGGCUAACUACGUGCCAGCCGCCGCGGUAA